UACGAAGGGGCUAGCGUUGCUCGGAAUCACUGGGCGUAAAGGGUGCGUAGGCGGGUCUUUAAGUCAGGGGUGAAAUCCUGGAGCUCAACUCCAGAACUGCCUUUGAUACUGGCGAGCUUGAGUCCGGGAGAGGUGAGUGGAACUGCGAGUGUAGAGGUGAAAUUCGUAGAUAUUCGCAAGAACACCAGUGGCGAAGGCGGCUCACUGGCCCGGUACUGACGCUGAGGUGCGAAAGCGUGGGGAGCAAACAGG
rnacentral:rRNA from 1 species